rnacentral:lncRNA from 1 species
UGCCGCAGCUCCUGUUGCCGUGACUGCACCACCAAGAGGAACUGAGAAAGUCACAGUGAGCAACCGAAGAGCCAAAACAAAAGCCUAGGAGGAGGAGUUUAAUAGAGUCAAAGGAAAGAAGAUGAGAACCCUAAGAUCAAACUCUAGUAAGCUGGAAAAUAAGCAUACAAAGUGUUAGGUCGCAACCUGGAACAAAUGGCUAACCGAGGUGCCUAUUAA